GAUGUGGGGAUUAAAGUAAAGGUGGGGGAGGACAGGGGCUUAUUUUGGCAUCUUCCGGGGAACCUCCGGUUAGCAUAUGCAGAUUCGCUGGGCGCCUCUGGGGUCGGGAUGGGAAAGCUCACCUGUAGCGCCCGUUAUGCAAAAGCUGUUUACUUCCUGCGCUAAUACCCCUGAAAGGUGACCACUGAAAGGAAGAGCAGUGUGGCCUUCGUAGGCCUGAAUUGGGUCUGGAAAGAGAAGAGACUUUUAAAUUUGGCUAUUUCAUCUAAAAUUAAUCUACACUUUUGCUUAAAUCUCUCUUCAGUCUAAAGCUUCUGCAUGAGUUAGAAAUACAAACAGUUCCUUGGUGGCGGAAGUGAUUCGCCCUGAGCUAACAUCUGCUGCCAAUCUUCCUCUUUUUGUUUGUGAGCUGCCACCACAGCAUGGCCACUGACAGACCAGUGAUGAAGGUCCAUGCCUGGGAACUGAACCUGGGCCGCCAAAGCAGAGCAUGAACUUAACCUCUAGGCCAUCGGGGCUGGCCCUCCAGGUGAGAAUGAUGCUUCUGGUCCUGGGACCACACUUUGAGAACCACUGCUCUACUCUCUGGAGAAAAGUCUGUGUAUGCCAGUGAGAAGGGUGCUCUGCUUCUGAAGAAAGAAAGAGAAACGUGAAGAAUUUAGAAAAAGAUGGAAUGCUCAGGUAACUGAAGUCAUCCAGGAGUUCACUUUCCCUGGAGCAGGGAUCAUGGACCCAGAUUAAGAAGUCCACAGCUAAAGGGAUUCUUCUGUCUCUAAAAUGCAGCGUUUCUAAGUCCUUUCCCUAGAAGUUGCAUUUUCACGACUCUCUCCCCAGUGACCUUUUGUAACCAUUUUCAUGGCUUGAUACAACAACAACAACGAAUGAAAUGGACAGGGUGUGCUAAUUCAUGAAACAAGCUGAGUGUUGGGGCUGCCCCAAGACGUUCUGUUUCGUAAUGAAUGAUUUCCACCUCGUGGCAGCACUUUCUUUCUACACCUGUGUCUUUGACACUUGCCAUACAGGAUCCAAUGCCAAGUCCCAAAGGUUCAGUUUCUUAAAUCAUGAAAGGACUGACUCCGAGUUCUUGGCCUCUUGCUUCCAGCUGUGUCCGCAUCAGGUCGAAGCUAUGCUGUAAUACACAUAAGCACCACCAGAUGGCAUCCUUGGGAAAGUCUUGCCUUGCGCGUUGCUUUCCCAGCUCUGACGUCUAUUCUAAACAUAGCCUGGUAAAAUGCUUGUGGAAGAAGGAAGAGAAUCUAUUAUGGGGGAGGAAAAACACCAAUGACAAGACAGCCUAGCACUUUCCUGGGUUUUGGUAUACAGAGUCAAGCCUUGAUUACUUUCUUCUACUUCUUAAUUAUCAGCUUUUCAAGGCAGAUGCAUAGGUUUAUAUAAUACAGAAGCAUUUCUUUCAUACACAUGCAUAUAUUUUUUGCCUCUACUGAUGCUCUAUGUGACUUAGAAGCUGCUCAUAAUUUAGAGGAAGAGCCUGUUCUUCUUUUGGAUUCUAAACUUGCACAUUCAUUCUUUUAUUGCCUCUGUCCUCCACUUCCAGUAAGAAUAUUCAGUUUGCACGGAAACCUCAUAAAAGGCCUUUCUGGGAAGGGAAAAGCUCAGUAAGAUCAGCUCUCUCUGCUGUGAAUCUCAGGCCAACUGGAAAGAAGAUCAAAGAGAAAGAAGAGGGCAGAGUGGACUUGGAUGGAAAGCAUGAUUGUCCCUGAAAGUGACCUGUCGGUUCCAUCUUCUCUUUUGCUCCUUCCAAAUUUUUCUUAAAAAACAGUUUUUUAAAAACCCAUGUUCAUGCUACAUUAAGCCUCAUGUUUCCAUUUCCCAUUUUACUGCUCAGGGUGGCACUUGCUGCCACUUGGUAAACUUACUUAAGAGGGGGAAUGAUGUC
ensembl:lncRNA